GAUGAACGCUGGCGGCGUGCCUAAUACAUGCAAGUCGAGCGAACGGACGAGAAGCUUGCUUCUCUGAUGCUAGCGGCGGACGGGUGAGUAACACGUGGAUAACCUACCUAUAAGACUGGGAUAACUUCGGGAAACCGGAGCUAAUACCGGAUAAUAUUUUGAACCGCAUGGUUCAAAAGUGAAAGGCGGUCUUGCUGUCACUUAUAGAUGGAUCCGCGCUGCAUUAGCUAGUUGGUAAGGUAACGGCUUACCAAGGCAACGAUGCAUAGCCGACCUGAGAGGGUGAUCGGCCACACUGGAACUGAGACACGGUCCAGACUCCUACGGGAGGCAGCAGUAGGGAAUCUUCCGCAAUGGGCGAAAGCCUGACGGAGCAACGCCGCGUGAGUGAUGAAGGUCUUCGGAUCGUAAAACUCUGUUAUUAGGGAAGAACAUAUGUGUAAGUAACUGUGCACAUCUUGACGGUACCUAAUCAGAAAGCCACGGCUAACUACGUG
rnacentral:rRNA from 1 species